rnacentral:rRNA from 1 species
AUUGAACGCUGGCGGCAGGCCUAACACAUGCAAGUCGAGCGGAAGAAGGGAGCUUGCUCCUGGAUUCAGCGGCGGAGGGGCGGGUAAUGCAUAGGAAUAUGCCUGGUUGUGGGGGAUAACGUCCGGAAACGGGCGCUCAUACCGCAAAAGCCCAGAGGGCGAACGUGUGGAAUCUUGGGACCUUCCGCUAUCACGUGAGCGAAUGUCGCAUUGUCGGGUUGGUGGGGUAACGGCCUACCAAGGCACCAAUCCGAAAAUGGUCUGAGGGUAUGAUCAGUCACACUGGAACUUAGACACGGUCCAGACUCCUACGGGAGGCAACAGUGGGGAAUAUUGGACAAUGGGCGGAAGCCUGAUCCAGCCAUGCCGCGUGUGUGAAGAAGGGCUUCGGAGUGUAAAGCACUUUAAGUUGGGAGGAAGGGCAGUAAGGUAAUACCUUGCUUUUUUGACGUUACCAACAGAAUAAGCACCGGCUAACUUCGUG